AUUUCAUGAUGAGGGCAUAUUUGUAAUAGUUCUUUAAACCUUUCACAUGCCAUAUACAAAGACUCGUCAUCCAUCUGUUGGAAAGUAGUGAUCUCGUUCCUCAACUU
rfam:Gossypium hirsutum cultivar TM-1 chromosome 23, whole genome shotgun sequence